rnacentral:rRNA from 1 species
AUAUGUGGCCAAAUUUCUUGCCAAAGACUGGUCUCAUCAGACCUCAGAAGCUAAGCAGGGCUGAUCCUGGUGAGUGUCUGGAUGGGAGACAGCUGGGAAUGCCAGGUGUCACACUGG